rnacentral:misc_RNA from 1 species
CUUCUCAACACAUGGCUGCUGUCGUCUCCUCAGCAUUUUACUCUUUAUGGAAUCUCCUCUCAGGUUUUCUUAUCCCAAUGCCUAAAAUCCCAGGAUGGUGGAUCUGGUUCUAUUACAUCUGCCCCGUUGCAUGGACUUUGCGGGGCAUUAUCAUUUCUCAGCUUGGUGAUGUGGAGAGCACAAUUGUAGGACCAGGUUUUGAAGGCUCUGUCAAAGAGUUUUUGAAAGUUAAUUUUGGCUUUGAAUCUGAUAUGCUUGGAGUUUCAGUGGUGGUGCUUGUUGGCUUCUGNNNNNGCUAUCUUUGCAUUCUCUGUGAAAUUCCUUAACUUCCAGAGAAGAUGAGCAGUGGAUUCAUUUAUUGAAACAGGGGGUCCUGCCUGCAGGGGACAAUUUUUUACCCUAGAAUAAUGGUUUUGAGGCCUUUGAUGUUGGUUGAGUUACGGGUUCAGUUGACUUGAGGGGUCUGCAAUUGUCCUGAAACACAUUUUGGCAAGGUUAUGGUGGCAUUGGAUAUGAGACUUGUAAUGGUGUGGUCACUGUGCAAGCAGUUGCUUUCAGGCAAGUUUAAAAUUGCAUUUGGGAUAUCAAAGCUUGAAACGCUUGUAGGGAGGGAAAUUUAGCUUGGGACAGCUGCCUUGCAUUAGGCUAUGGCUGAUAUUGUGGUAGAGCUGCUGCAAAAGUGAUGAGGGAGAGGAGCCUGUUGGCCAAGGACAUGUAGGCAACUGUAUCUUUUAACAAUUUUCAGCGACUUUUUUAAUGGAUUAGCUUGUUUGUACUUUAUAGGAUCACAAGGAAUGUUGACUCGGUGUUCAUAGUUACAGCAUACUUAAAGUUGAAUUUGAAAGCUGCCAAGCUUUCUGAUAUUGAUAUGUUAUUAUUUGCUUCCCA